ensembl:lncRNA
UUGUGGUGUGUUUGGAGGGACGUCGGGAUGCUAGUGUCUUGGUGUGUUUGGAGGGACGUUGGGAUGCUAGUGUCUUGGUGUGUUUGGAGGGACGUCGGGAUGCCUAGUGUCUUGGUGUGUUUGGAGGGACGUCGGGAUGCUAGUGUCUUGGUGUGUUUGGAGGGACGUCGGGAUGCUAGUGUCUUGGUGUGUUUUUGGAGGGACGUCGGGAUGCUAGUGUCUUGGUGUGUUUUUUGGAGGGACGUCGGGAUGCUAGUGUCUUGGUGUGUUUUUUGGAGGGACGUCGGGAUGCUAGUGUCUUGGUGUGUUUUUUGGAGGGACGUCGGGAUGCUAGUGUCUUGGUGUGUUUUUUGGAGGGACGUCGGGAUGCUAGUGUCUUUGUUGCGACUCUUCUCUUGGUUUGUUUUUGUCCCAACCUCUUUGGAUACAGCUGUGAUUCACUCAUUCAUCAGACUUGGCUAGCUUUAAUGAUGUCAUGACCUAGAUUUUUCUGGGACAUAUUUCGGUGCAAUGGAGUGUAAUUUCAGGCGUUUUAAGAAGUAAAAAUUGUUUAAAAAAAUAAAUAAAAAAUGGUCUGUUUUUGAGAGUGAUGUCUCAUUUUGAUAAACUUGUCACUAGAUCCCCCCCCCUCACUGCCAUAUAUUUUUCUUAGUUUAUUUUAACAGGGGUUUUUAUCUUAGUCUUGAUCUUUUUCUUUCUGGCAUUGAGUGUGGUUGGUCCUUGAUAUUUUGGUGUUUGUUGAAGGACAGAGUAAAGUGUCUGAGAUUGCCAUUUGAAAAUGUGGUUUUGCAGUGAUGAGGAACUGAGAGACAUACUAGUGUGUGUGUUCUAGUGUUGGUUCUAGAAUGUUUUCUCGUGUUGGUUCUAGAAUGUGCUGUAGUGUCGGUUCAAGAAUGUGCUCUAGAAUAGGUUCUAGUGUCGGUUCUAGAAUGUGCUCUAGAAUAGGUUCUAGAAUGUGCUCUGGUGUCGGUUCUAGAAUAUGCUCUAGUGUCGGUUCUAGUGUCGGUUCACUGUGUUCCAAUGCGUGAACAGGCGUUUAUGAUGUGUAGUUAAUUUGUCAUCAUUAAAGACAGACGUGAGAGAAAUUCAAAAGAAUCACUGUUUGUUAUUUUUUUUUCCUGAAUGAGUGAGUUUGUACUUACCAGUAAUUGUUGGAUAUUGCUGUGCAUCUUUUGUGGAACUCCUACAGUAUAUGGGUGUUGUUUUUUUUAAAAAUAGGGUGUAUCUAUUCCACAGUAAGUAAGGGUUUGUUUUGAAACACGGCCGUUUGUGUAGAGAUGUAGAUGGUACAGAGACGGUGUGUUGAGGGGUUGAAGAACCCAGAGGAACAGAAUCAGGAUCCACCCCCCAUGCCAUACCUCAAAACCCCUGAUGACACACACACACACACACACACACACCAAUAUAAACCUCUGACACACACACACACACACACACACACAAUAUAAACCUCUGACACACACACACAUCACACAAAUCAAGCUGAUACGUUGAUCCAUCAUGCCUUUUUUUUUUCUUUUUUCAAACAGGUUUUUUUCUUUUAUAGUAUUAUAAAACACGUUUUUAAAAUUGAAAUUGUAAUCAAUGCGAAGAAGAAAAGUUAAACCGAUGUUGUUGAUGUGACGCUCCUUAUCCGUGUAGUGGCAGCUCUGGGGUUGCACAUGGUGCUGUUGUAAGUGUGUGUGUUCGGCUGAGGUGAGAUCUCAUCGACUCUGUUCAACCUGUGAUCUUUAACAACCGCAUCCUCCUUUUGUUGAGAAGACAUACCUCCCAGACAUGUGUAACCCUCUUCCUCUGUUAUUUGAGGGGAAAACAUACAGUCGUCCUCUUACCUUGACAUUCCUGAGUUUCUUUGAUUUUUUUUUUUAGUUCUUGCCCAAACGGUUGUGAACUUGUUUUGUUAUUUUAUUUUAAAGAAAAUGUUACAUAAAAACCUGGAGAGAAUUUUUUUACGGCCUUUCUGUCUUUCAUCUGUAGUUGUGUUAAAUAUUGUCUUGAACUGCAUUCAGACACAGCAGCCGUUUAGCUAAAUUCAACUGAUUUUACAUUCUUAAUAAAGCAUGAAUAAAACAAACAAAAACAGUCCAACCAAUAACUACACAAUUAUUUAUUGGGUUAAAAAUGUUUAAAAAAUGCAUUACACUCAUUUGACCAAAACUUUUAAUAGGAAACCACAACAAGUCCAACCCAUAGUCAUAUUCACAACUCCACAUGUUGAACCCACCCUGUAGGGAGCUCUUCAACGGGCUAGGGAGGCUCCUGCCUGGUCCUGGUCGUACAGCGGAGGGGGUGGAGGGGGGUGUUCUUGGCAGGUUUUGUCUGUCCCAUUCUGUGUCUCAUCCAUCCAUUGGUAGGACUGGCAGACGAGCAGAUUCUAUAGCCGUUAACUCGGACACCAGUGUUUCAGAGCUAAUAGGGGUGGGGGGAUGUUCUUGGUAGGUUCUGUCUGUCCCAUUCUGCGUCUCAUCCAUCCAUUGGUAGGACUGGCAGACGAACUGAUUCGAUUCGUUCCGGUUCCCACAGACCAACCAAUCCGGUGCUGAGUCAGGAAGUCCAAGACUGAAGGAAGGGAGCACUGGUCCUUUUCCAACAUCUCCAGUUCAUCCAUUGGCCAUGAGAGGGCUGUGGUCUUCACUGGAGCGAUUUGGAGAAGGGGCUUGACAGUGCAUCGUGUCAGGGUGGGUUAUCAAAUGUUAUGGGAUGGUAGGUGGUAUAGGGGAGACAUCGAGGAUGGUAGGUGGUAUAGGGGAGACAUCGAGGAUGGUAGGUGGUAUAGGGGAGACGUUGAGGAUGGUAGGUGGUAUAGGGGAGACGUUGAGGAUGGUAGGUGGGAGACGUCGAGGGUGGUAGGUGGUAUAGGGGAGACGUUGAGGGUGGUAGGUAGUAUAGGGAGACGUUUCAGGGUGGUAGGUAGGUGAGGGUUGGAGUAGUGUAAAUAAAACUGAAUAUUUUAAGAGAUAUUCAAUGGGUUAUGGAGUGGUGGCUCUGUGAGGUAUGAAGACAGAAAAAGAGAGGUUAUGUGUGUUUGAUGCCUGAGAGAGAGAACGGUACAUCUGGUAAGGAGUGGGGUGUGUUAAAAAAAAAAAAAUGGCCGAUUCAGAAGAGACUGAUGUUUCAGCAGUACUGGGACAUGGUCAGGAGAGGAAAUUAGAGAAGCCUGAGACCUAGAGAGAGGGAAGAGGAUAAGGAUGGCUAACUGGUAUGGACUGGUAGGUAGCAGUCUAAUAUGAGGACUGGUAGGUAGCAGUCUAAUGUGAGGACUGGUAGGUAGGUAGCAGUCUAAUGUGAGGACUGGUAGGUAGGUAGCAGUCUAAUGUGAGGACUGGUAGGUAGGUAGCUGUCUAAUGUGAGGACUGGUAGGUAGGUAGCAGUCUAAUGUGAGGACUGGACUGGUAGGUAGCUGGUUAAUGUGAGGACUGGACUGGUAGGUAGCUGUCUAAUGUGAGGACUGGACUGGUAGGUAGCUGUCUAAUGUGAGGACUGGACUGGUAGGUAGCUGUCUAAUGUGAGGACUGGACUGGUAGGUAGCUGUCUAAUGUCAGGACUGGACUGGUAGGUAGCUGUCUAAUGUGAGGACUGGAAGGUAGCAGUGUAAUGUGAGGACUGGAAGGUAGCAGUGUAAUGUGAGGACUGGUAGGUAGUAGUGUAAUGUGAGGACUGGAAGGUAGCAGUGUAAUGUGAGGACUGGAAGGUAGCAGUGUAAUGUGAGGACUGGUAGGUAG